CCUACGGGUGGCUGCAGUGAGGAAUAUUGGUCCAUGGGCGCGAGCCUGAACCAGCCAAGUAGCGUGAAGGAUGACUGCCCUACGGGUUGUAAACUUCUUUUAUAAAGGAAUAAAGUGAGUCACGUGUGCCUUUUUGUAUGUACUUUAUGAAUAAGGAUCGGCUAACUCCGUGCCAGCAGCCGCGGUAAUACGGAGGAUCCGAGCGUUAUCCGGAUUUAUUGGGUUUAAAGGGAGCGUAGGUGGGUUGUUAAGUCAGUUGUGAAAGUUUGCGGCUCAACCCUAAAAUUGCAAUUGAUACUGGCAGUCUGGAGUGCAGUUGAGGUAGGCGGAAUUCGUGGUGUAGCGGUGAAAUGCUUAGAUAUCACGAAGAACACCGAUUGCGAAGGCAGCUAACUAACCUACAACUGACGUUGAUGCUCGAAAGUGUGGGUAGCAAACAGGAUUAGAUACCCGGGUAGUC
rnacentral:rRNA from 1 species